GAACACGUGGCCGAAUGGAUAAGCCGUCUGACUUCGGAUCAGAAGAUUGAGGGUUCUAGACCCUUCGUGGUCG
rfam:Nematostella vectensis strain CH2 x CH6 NEMVEscaffold_34_Cont5834, whole genome shotgun sequence.